rnacentral:tRNA from 2 species
GGGCCGGUAGCUCAGCAAGGUAGAGCGGCGGUCGAGACCCGUAGGUCGGGGGUUCAAGUCCCUCCCGGCCCACCA